GAUAAAAUCUGCUUUCUUUACUUCCUUAAAUGACGCUGAUAAAAUUCUCGUUAAUACACUUUGUGAUUCAGCUUCCUUUAGAUAUGGCAUCAAGUCUCUUGUGCUUAUUUUUCCAACUCCAGCUAGAAGAAGAAGAUACAUACCUUUACAUGGAAAAUGACCCUUUUCUCUCAGAAGAUCCAAGUGGUAAAUCAAAGAGAACACCAAGGCUGGUUCAGUCCAUAAAGAAACAUUAACAAGGUUGUAUUUCUUUGCAAUGGUAGCUGGCCAAAAAUAAUUAGUAUCAGCAACCAAGAAAUAGACUGAAACUUGAUCAGAUCGAAUUAUCUUUCCAACAAAUUCUUCGACUAUAGUUGGAAAAUCGCGCAGAAGGGACUCCCAAUACUCCAUAAUGUGGAGAUCUCUAUCAAAUUCCAGAGGAAAACCAUCGCUCAUUGUUGUGUAACGUAUAUCGAGACCUGAUUCUCGAGCUUCAGAAAAUAAAUCGAAUUCUUCUGGAUUUUUAUGAUGGGCUUUUGAUAAUUUGUGGUGAAUAAAUUCAAGAUGAACAAAAGUGAUGGAGAAGCCAUUAGAAGCAAGCUUAAGAGCAAGUCCAACAAAGGGGUUAAUGUGUCCUUGGUAAGGAACUGAUAUCAUAAUAGCAUGCGACUUUUUGCACGCACUCUCUGCUGCCAUUUCUCUCUCUUAAUUUUUGCAGGCGUACGUAGCAUUCAGAACUUGACAAAUUACGCCAGUUUGUGAUGAGGAAUGGAGCUAAGAAACGCAAUUCAGAAUUUGACAAGACAACAGGCCAUGCAGUAAUAGUGUCUGCAAUCAAGAAAUGGACCGAAUCUGGAUCGGAUUGGAUCGUCUUUCCGACAAAUUCAUCGAUCGUACCUGAACGAUCGAGCGAUAUGGAUUCCCAGUGCUCCUCGAGGUGGAGACCUCGAUCGAAUUCGGAAGGAAACCCGUCUUUAAUUGUUGUGUAACGUAUGUCAAGACCUGAUUCACGAGCUUCGGAGAAUAAAUCGAGUUUCGGUAGUUUUUGAUGAAGAAAUUCGUAAUGAACGAAAGUGACGGAGAAGCCACUUGAAGCAAGCUUGAGAGCAAGGCUGGCAAAGGGGUUGAUAUGGCCUUGGUAUGGGACUGAUAUCAUAAUAGCAUGGGGCUUGUAUUUACUCUCAGCCAUUGAUUCUAACUUUUGCUGUAGAGAGCCUUUGUUAUUAUUACAUGACAUUUUCUUGAAUGAAUUUCAGACAAUUUAUAUGUUAAGGAAUGAAGCAAAAAUGAAUUUGAACAAAGACCAAAGUUUUGUAUU